GAUGAACGCUAGCUACAGGCUUAACACAUGCAAGUCGAGGGGAAACGACAUCGAAAGCUUGCUUUUGAUGGGCGUCGACCGGCGCACGGGUGAGUAACGCGUAUCCAACCUGCCCACCACUUGGGGAUAACCUUGCGAAAGUAAGACUAAUACCCAAUGCUAUCUAUAGAAGACAUCUGAAAGAGAUUAAAGAUUUAUCGGUGAUGGAUGGGGCUGCGUCUGAUUAGGUUGUUUGCGGGGUAACGGCCCACCAAGGCGACGACCAGUCGGGGUUCUGAGAGUAAGGUCCCCCACAUUGGAACUGAGACACGGUCCAGACUCCUACGGGAGGCAGCAGUGAGGAAUACUGGUCAAUGGGCGAGAGCCUGAACCAGCCAAGUAGCGUGCAGGAUGACGGCCCUAUGGGUUGUAAACUGCUUUUAUAAGGGAAUAAAGUGAGCCUCGUGAGGCUUUUUGCAUGUACCUUAUGAAUAAGGACCGGCUAAUUCCGUGCCAGCCGCCGCAGUAA
rnacentral:rRNA from 1 species